ensembl:lncRNA
GCUGUGGAUGCUGCAGACACCUGACCAACAGAGAUCAUGAAACUGUCCGUGAGUUUGCUCGCUCUUGCGGUGCUGCUGCUGUGUGUUCACUGGCAGGCCCAGGCUGAGCUAAGCAAGAGGGAGAUCGCGAGAGCGGUGAGAUCGGCUAAAGCAGAUGUGGAUGCAGCGUACGAGUCCUCGAGAAGAGAGAGUCUGGAUCGUUUUCGGAGGGACGCCGUCUCUCCCGCCGACGUCCUGAGGUUGAUGAAGCAGCCUCUGGGCCGGAACAGAGAGGCCGUGCGCAGCGCAGACUACUUUCACGGAGCGCUCCAGUUCAUCGAGAACAUGCCCCACAGGAGGCGCCGGCGAUCUCUGAUGUCCAACUCCACAGGACUGUCAGCGGAGGACUUCGCGGCCCUGGCCGCGGCGACCGGCUGCGCCCGCUUGACCGUAGCGCCUUCAUGCGAGCGCGUCCCCAACCUCAACAAGUACCGCACGGCCGACUCCGGAGAACGCGCUGUGGGGGCCUCCAACAUCCCGUUCCUGCGCCAGCUGCCCGCGGAGUACCAGGACGGGAGGUUCCUGCCCAAAGGCUGGGACCCCGAGGUCAAGGUCAACGGACACCUGCUCCCACUGGUGAGGGAGGUGUCCAACCACAUCCUUGCCACCGGAAACACGGUUGUAAAUGACGACUUGUUCUCCACGCUGAUAACGUUCUUCGGUCAGUGGACGGACCAUGACUUCUCUUCCAACGCCAGCUGCGUGGACACGUGUACACGCGAAGAGCCCUGCUUCCCCAUAAAGGUCCUCAACAGUGACUCCAGGCUGGCCAGGCACGGCUGCAUCCCUUUCAUCCGCUCGUCUCCGGCGUGCUCGGGGAGUUCGGUCCGGGAGCAGAUCAACACUCUCACGGCCUACCUGGAUGUGGGGCAGGUGUACGGGUCGGACCACGUGAAGGCCAAGGCGCUUCGGGACUUCACCUCCGACAAGGGGCUCCUGAAGGUCAACCAGGAGUACGACGACAACGGGCGCGAGGUGCUCCCCUUCAGAAGCAUGCCCGUCAACAUGUGUGCCACCAGGAGGAGCAUGACCAAAGACAACAACGCCAAGGAGGUGCCCUGCUUUCUGGCCGGUGAUGACCGUGUGAUAGAAAAUAUAGCCCUGGCUUCUAUCCACACUCUGAUGCUGAGGGAGCACAACCGUCUGGCCCGACAACUGGCCAUCCUCAACCCGCGCUGGGACGGGGAGCAGCUGUACCAGGAGGCCCGCAAGAUCCUCGGAGGAAUGAGCCAGGUCAUCACGUACCGGGACUACCUGGGGCUCAUCGUGGGCCCUGAGGCCAUGGCCAAGAGCUUGUCCACGUACCCAGGCUACAACAGCGAGGUGGACCCGAGCGUCUCCAGCGUGUUCGCCACCGCCGCCUUCCGCUUUGCCCAUCUCACGAUUCAGCCCAAGCAGUUCAGGCUGGACGAAGACUACCAGGAGCAUCGCGACUACCCCAGCCCAGACCUGCACCGCGCAUUCUUCACGCCCUGGAGGGUGCUCUUUGAAGGUGGUGUGGACCCCAUAGUGCGCGGAUUGGUGGGGAGGCCGACCAAACUGAACACCCAGGACCACAUGUUGGUCGACGAGCUCCGGGAGAGACUGUUCCAGUUCAACGAACAGUUGGCUCUGGACCUGGCCGCUCUCAACAUGCAGAGAGGGAGGGAUCACGGCCUGCCAGGAUACAACGCGUGGCGAGGGUUCUGCGGCCUGUCCCAGCCGAGGAACGAGAAAGAGUUGGGCCAAGUCCUGGGGAACCCUGAUCUGGCUCGGAAACUCCUGGCACUCUACAAGACACCGGACAACAUCGACGUGUGGAUGGGGGGUGUGGCCGAGCCCUUUGUGGCCGGGGCCGAGAGGGUUCAACAGGGCGACAGACUGUGGUGGGAGAACGAGGGUGUGUUCACGGAGGCUCAGAAAAAGUCACUGCGAAGCGCCUCCUUUGCUCGGAUCAUCUGCGACAACACCGGCAUCACGGAGGUCCCCGCCCAGCCCUUCCGGUUCCGCCCACGCGGCUACGGCUACACCUCCUGCUCGGAUAUCCCGAAGAUGGACCUGUCCCCCUGGCAGGAGAACGCACUGCAAGGACCUUACGGACAACCAGGUAAAUAUCAACAUCGGUGUUUUUGUGCAGACACCUUUCCCCACCCCGGCCCGUCUCUCCCUGCUCCCACUGUGGCCUUCUCCGCUCGCCUGGGCAACAACUACCCCGCCCGACACACGCCCAUCGUCUUCCACGAGGUCAUCUACAACCGCCCGGGGCACUACGACCAGCGCUCCGGCAUCUUCACGUGCGUGAUCCCCGGGGUGUACGAGUUCCACAUGACCCUCCAGAUCUUCAACGCCAACGUCGGGGUGGACCUCAUGUGCAACCGGGACCUCCUGCUGCACUCCUACAACUCGCAGCACAGCGCACACAUCAUGUCCAGCGGCAGCACCAUCACCCGCCUGCACCGGGGCGACAGGGUGUACCUGGUGAUAAACGAGGGCACCAACAGUUUGGUGAAGGACAGUCAGUUCAGCGGACACCUGCUGUUCACCGAGGACGACAACCAGAUGGACAAUGAGUCUGCGCUCUAA